rnacentral:lncRNA from 1 species
CUAGAUACACGAGCCUUGACACAAGCAUCUUCAAAAUUGGCAUCGGGAACCUUCCCUGGCAUCAUCAAAUUCUUAAGGAUGUCCAGCUGACCCUUGAUGUGGAUUCGCAUCUCGUACAGGUGCCACGGAACGUCGAGGAAAGAAGAAGUAUGAGAGGAGGACGACUGAUCUAGUAGAUGCACCUUCUCGGCCUCAAGAGCAGCAACUUGUUGCUAAGGCUUGAAACCGG